AUUGAACGCUGGCGGCAUGCCUUACACAUGCAAGUCGAACGGUAACGGGCCUUCGGGUGCCGACGAGUGGCGAACGGGUGAGUAAUGUAUCGGAACGUACCUUUCAGUGGGGGAUAACGUAGCGAAAGUUACGCUAAUACCGCAUAUUCUGUGAGCAGGAAAGCAGGGGAUCGCAAGACCUUGCGCUGAUUGAGCGGCCGAUAUCAGAUUAGCUAGUUGGUGAGGUAAAGGCUCACCAAGGCGACGAUCUGUAGCGGGUCUGAGAGGAUGAUCCGCCACACUGGAACUGAGACACGGUCCAGACUCCUACGGGAGGCAGCAGUGGGGAAUUUUGGACAAUGGGGGCAACCCUGAUCCAGCCAUGCCGCGUGAGUGAAGAAGGCCUUCGGGUUGGUU
rnacentral:rRNA from 1 species